GAGCCGUGUCUGUGACCUACACCACAGGUCAGGGCAAUGCUGGAUCCUUAACCCACUGAGGGAGGCCAGGGAUGGAACCCACAACCUCAUGGUUCCUUGUCAGGUUCAUUUCCGCUGCACCACGAUGGGAACUCUGAGGAAUUUCUACUUAAACCUCAUCCCCAAAUAACACUGUUACCUGCCAAUCAAAGGGGGGAACAUGUGCCUCCUUAACUUCUCUCUGAUUUGCUGGGGGAAGCAUGUUGGUGGAGGUGAUAAGGGGAGAGUCUGUUCCUGAGAUGCCCCACCCAGCACCUGUAACUUUAUCCCCUGAUGGCUACAUGAGAACUUAAUCUGAAAAUCCUCCCCUGAGACUUCUCUGCAAGAGUUUGGAGACACUCCGCAAAUUGAGGAAGGAGUGGAGGAAACACAUUUCUUGAGCUUUUAUCUUCUUGGGAAAAUUACACUAAUUGCUAAGUGCCCCCUAUUAUCUUACCCUCUCUCAACAGCUUAGCUAUACCCCACUGCCAACUCCCAGGCAGAAUUAAUUGCUUCCCUGCUGCUCCCCACUCCCUGAGCACUUUAGCCCCCUUCCUGGAUUAGAACACUUAUCUGGCAUUCAAGUUAAUUGUUUGUUGUAGGUCUUUUCCCCAGACAUCCUUUGCUCCAAAGGCUGGUUGGUAUUUUCUUUAUCUCUGCUCCACCCAGGGCUGGCCAUAAGGUGCUGCUCAAAUAAAGUUUCCAGGUGGGUGGACUUCAGAUAAGGUCCACUCCGGCCCCAGGGUGGCCUGAACCUUUUUAUCGCUUUGCUUCGCUUUAACACGUUUUCCAGAAUUAUGUCACUACCAACAAAUCUGUGUGCAAAAUUCUACAGAGACAGGUCAUUUCCCCUAAAAGCUAUUGCCCAUUGACCUUGAAUCCUGUAUUGUUUUGCAGACAUAUAUAUAUAUAUAUCUUCUUAUGACGAUGCAUUUUACCUUGUGAUGUUCCCUAUGCUACGGCUUCCAACAUGACCAAAGCCAUAAAACCUAAGUGUUUUUCCAGCACUAUUUAUGGUCUUGAAAGCAGAUGUUGUGCCUAGAGGCUUGGAAUACAGCAAGGCAUCUCAGGAUGCUGCUUUUUGCUUUAAGGCAAUCCAAAGCCGUGCUACACUCUGACUUUCUGGUGUCAGGAGUAUGAAUAAGGAUUUUUCAGAAGGUCUAAAGCAUCUUCUUUCUGGUCCCCUGAGCCCAGACUUUUGGAAGAGCCCCCAGUUGCCUCCAGCCUCUCCCCACUUCCAAUCCAUUUCCCACCCUGACUCCACAGAGAUUUUCCUGAAAAUCCAGACCUGUUUUUCCUCUCCCUUUAGAAAGAAGGUCAAACUCCAUCUUUCUGUGGCUUUCAGUCUUUUCCUCUGUUCCUGGGGCUCUGCUCUGCAAAAUGCCUUUUUAGUUCCACCCAUGCUGCACUGCCUGAUGCUCUGAAAAAAGCUCUUUACUCAAACUUGGCUUCUGCUAUUCCCUCUACCUAGAAUGCCAUUGACCCCACUUGGGCUUCUUGGAAUCCCACCUAUCCCUUAAACUCUACCAGCUCCCUGCUGUGUGACUAUGGGCAAGGCACUCAACCACUCUGAGUCUCCCGUUUGCUCAUCUUCAGAAGGGGGAUUCAAUCAAAGGAUGUGUGAAAGAGGAGAGAAAAUAAAAUGCUCAGAUGAUAAUUUUCCACCCCCAACUCAAUCCUUUGAACCCCACUGUGCUUCCCCUUCUCAUACAGACCUGAGAGCACACUGCGCAUUAACAGGGCUGAAAGUCAGGCUCAUUAUCAUCCCCAACAGACUAAGAUGUCUUAGAGGUCAAGGGACUCCAUCUUAGACAUGCCUGGCACAUAGUAGCUGGCAAUAGAUAUUGGAUAAGGGGUUAAUUUAUCUCUCCUCCUCAUUCCCAGUCAGAGCCACAUAAUUCACAGGCCAGUUACUUCUGAGAGGUUUUGUCGAAAUAAAUGAACUCAAAGGUCAGAAUGAUCUAACCUUGAACUCUGUGUGGCCUUAAGCAAGACAUAUUUAAUUUCCCAAUUGGAACGUGAGGAUGCUAAGUGAGGAUAGUUAAUACCCCUAUGGAAAUAAUGCUGCUCUGUGGGGUUACUCAGAGGAUUAAGUACACUAGCAUGAGUGAAGUACUGUCAUCGCUAUUAUUAGGAAGUAUUUUGGCCUGGCUCUCCCAGCCUUGGCAGACUGACCAGAUGAAUAUCUGAGUUCAGCUGGUUUGUUUGUUUGGCUGCCCCUUGACAUAAGGAGUUACCCAGCCAGGGAUCAGCUCUGAGCCAGAGUUGUGACCUAAGCCACAGCUGUAGCAAUGCUGGACCCUUAACCCACUGUGCCAGCCAGGGAUCGAACCUGCACUCAAGAGCUCCCAAGAUGCUGCUGACCCCAUUGUGCCACAGAGGGAACUCCCGAGCUUAGGGGUUUUAAAGGUCUUAGGUACUGUGGCCCAAUGACCCAGGGGCCACACUGUGCUUUUGAGGGCCCUAGAUAAAUUUGGUUUCAUGAACCCCAUUCUCCAUAAAGUCAUAAAAUGAAUUCUACUUUCUGACUGCGUUGGUAUAAAGAGGAUAGAACCUAGGCUGGAUUCAUUACUGUCUAUCGACUAUUAUUAUAUUCGUUUUCUUCUUUGAAAAGAAAUUAAAAUUCAGACAUUUUCACAAGGGCCUGAGGUUAUUGCAGGUCCCAGGCACCUCCUGAGUGGGAUGGAACAGUCAGCCUGGCCUUCAGUCUCUGAAGUCUGAGCUCUAGUGCAUCAGUUCAAACCAGGCUCCUGCUCAUUGGUCUUCUCCACCUACUUGUGGGAUCUUGGCGCGAACUUGUCCUUCUUCCUGGAACUUUCUCCCUGACCCUCUUCCUCUCCUUUUACAGCACAGAUUGCUAGCCCCUACCCUUGGUUUCUGAUUUAGCAGCUCUGGGGUGGAAUCCAAGAAUCUACAUUUUUUAAUAGCACCCAGGUGUUGCUGAGGUGGCCUUUCUCUGCUGGUCCUUGGACCACACUUGGAGAACAGCUACUUUCGAGGUCAGCUCUGUUUUCACUCACCUUCUCUGAUCUGUUUCAGUCAUGUUUCUCCCUCAUAGGCUCUCCACGGACUAAGGCCUUCUGCCUUAUCUGCAUAAUUUUUUGAUUCAUGUCUCUUUUGCCCAUGCGACUGUAAGUACCAGUUGUCUUUUCACUCGCUGUAGGUGCUCAAUGAACAUGUAUGAAUGGAACAGAAUAGAGAACCCAAAAAUAAACCCAGACACCUACAGUCAAUUAAUCUUCAACAAGAAGGCAGGAAUAUAAAAUGGGGAAAAGACAGUCCCUUCAGAAAGUGGUGCUGGGAAAACUGGACAGCUGCAUGUAAAUCAAUGAAACUAGAACACACCCAAACACACACCAUUCACAAAAAUAAACUCAAAAUGGCUUAAAGA
rnacentral:lncRNA from 1 species